CCACACUCAACCCCAAACCCACCUCCGUGGUUCUCGAAACCAGGUGCCGCCGCGGCCAGCUAUCCACCGUCCCCCACUGCUGUGGGAGGCCGAGGUCGCUCCGGCUAACCGGCAAUGAAAGAUGCUGGCCUGGAGUUCCCGCUUGACGCCGUCGACGGAUUUCCCCUACAAUCAGAGUUCGCGGACAGCUUGGUCCUCCCGCGGAUUGCUGACAUGAGCGCUGACCCGGCUGAGUCGAAUGCUGGCUCCGGGUGCAGCCAUCGUGUUGGCGGCGCAAGCCAGGGCAGGCAAGACGGCGUCGGCGGGAGGCUUCUCUGACGAGCUCCGCACAGUCGACAGACGCGGUGAAUCCAAAGGCGACUGGGUGAAUGAAAAGGUGCGGCCUGAAGCCAUUGUAGGGCACCUGCUAUUAAUUGUUUUGUUGAAUGCUGCUCUGUUUGUCGUACGACAGCAUGAAAUUCGCUGCAAUGCUUUCUGUAUGUUCGACUAGCUGAACAAACCGGAUGAAGAUGUUUGUUCAUGUUGUGUGUGUAGGAUGCGAACAGGUAGAUCUUGAUAACAUAGCUUAUGCUCACACACCGUAAUUGGUCCCAUAAUGCAGAAUUUACAAACUGGCAUAUAGAUGCUGCUGAAAAUUAUUGGAAA